rnacentral:rRNA from 1 species
UGAACCGUUAUAACCGGCGAUACCCGAAUGGGGAAACCCAGUGUGAUUCGUCACACUAUCAUUAACUGAAUCCAUAGGUUAAUGAGGCGAACCGGGGGAACUGAAACAUCUAAGUACCCCGAGGAAAAGAAAUCAACCGAGAUUCCCCCAGUAGCGGCGAGCGAACGGGGAGGAGCCCAGAGCCUGAAUCAGCAUGUGUGUUAGUGGAAGCGUCUGGAAAGGCGCGCGAUACAGGGUGACAGCCCCGUACACAAAAGCGCAUGUGCUGUGAGCUCGAUGAGUAGGGCGGGACACGUGGUAUCCUGUCUGAAUAUGGGGGGACCAUCCUCCAAGGCUAAAUACUCCUGACUGACCGAUAGUGAACCAGUACCGUGAGGGAAAGGCGAAAAGAACCCCGGCGAGGGGAGUGAAAAAGAACCUGAAACCGUGUACGUACAAGCAGUGGGAGCACCCUUUGGGGUGUGACUGCGUACCUUUUGUAUAAUGGGUCAGCGACUUAUAUUCUGUAGCAAGGUUAACCGUAUAGGGGAGCCGGAGGGAAACCGAGUCUUAAU